ensembl:snoRNA small nucleolar RNA SNORA26
GUGCCAUUUCAAGGUUGACGCUGUGAUUUAAGAAGCUAACACAGAAGGUUGAAUUCAGUCUCCGUGAAACCCAGAGCAGAGAUCAGAGAACUCUUUGGAUCCUCUCUGGAGUUACAACU